rnacentral:piRNA from 2 species
UGACUUUAGGACCUGAGAGUGGAAGUCUCU